ensembl:lncRNA
UAGUUUUUAUGAUGAUCAUCCACUUCAAAAGACCUUGAACAUUCGAUAAAGUAUUGAAAUCAAAUAAGUCAAAGAAGUCUUGCAAACACAACAAAUAAAAACCAAUCAAGACAAAUGUGAGGGUGUACCUCUUACUGCCUUAACGCCAACUUUCAGCACCCCACCCAACACCCGACUUCGAACUCAACAUUCAUUUCUAUCUCAACAACACACCUCUAAAGUUUCAUAACUGCUUGUUACACAGUUGUGAUCGCAGUCAUAAUUUCCAGCUCUUGCUGCUGGUAAGUAUGUCCUGAAUGCAGGUUUGAAUGAGCAGUCAGAACUAAACUGGCUUCACAGCUCUUUAGUGUUUUUGUCUUCUGUUUUCUUGUUUUGUCCCAGUCAGUCAUGACGAACCACCUCAGAUAUGUCAAAGAUAAUUUGAGUUGAGUGGAGACAGUGAUUCUGCUACAUCCUUGUUUGUUUAGAUUAAGAAAUUGGUUUAGUUUCUCCAGAAGUGAAGCCUAACACACAGUAUAUAAAGCUCAGCCCAUAACCUUCCCUAUCAGACCAGGUAAAGACAUGGAGAUCGGUAAGUAUCUCUUUUACUUUGACAAUACUGACACAUUUCUGAAUUUGAAACUACUGAUACUUCUACGUAUAUGUUUUCCUUAAAUGUGAUAAUUAUAGUAACCAUAUUAAAUAUGUUUGAUAAACCAGAGCAGCUGUAAAUCUUGAUUCUAUUUUCAUCUCGUGUUUCAUGGACAGUUGCUGCCAUUGGAGCUGUAGCAGGAGGAUUAGGAGCUUUGGUCGUGGCUCCUGCUGCUCUGACUGCAGUAGGUUUCACUUCAGCAGGAAUAGCUGCAGGCUCCUGGGCUGCUAGCUUGAUGUCAUCUGCUGCAGCUGCCGGUGGAGGAGGAGUGGCAGCAGGAAGUGUGGUGGCUGUUUUGCAGUCAGUAGGUAAGGGCACUGUCUUUAUUUUUUUUUAAUCAACUUUAAUCUUCUUUAACUGUUGUAUUUAAAUGGUGAGAGGAUCAUUGCUGCAGUAAUCACAGGGUCAAUAUAUGUAAACAACUUCAUAUUGUGUUGACAGAUUCAUAGUUUUUGGUUCACAAUGACACUACUGUGUAUUGGUGCUACUGUUACAUUUAGUCUUUUGGCCUGAGAGCAGUGUUUUCUCAGCUCCUCUGUAGCUCGAUAACUUGAUAUAAAACCUGUGUAAUCCUGCUGUAGGUGCAGCUGGUGUGUCAGCAGCUACCACUGUAGCUACCACUGUAGCUGCAGCUGCAGCUGGAGGAGCAGCUGCAGCUGCAUCUGCGGCUGGAGGAGCAGCAGCAGCAGCAGCAGUGAUGGGGUUUUCAGCCAUGGGUAACCCAACUGGAUACGGCUGCUCAGUCCAAGGCUCUAUUAUUUAUUGUUACUAAGUCUCACUCCUACAUUGUCAAAUAUUGACAAAUUGGGAAUGAGACUCAACAAUCAAACUUCCUCAGGAAUUACUCACUCCUUCUUUAUAGAGGCUAAUGCAAUUAAUAUCGAGCAAUGUUGUCAUCCAAACAACUGACAUUUUGUGCAAUAAAUCUGUAAAACCUCCCACUUCAAUGUGUCGUCUGUAAAUAUUUUCACUGUACAUGAAGCACUCACUGGUUCAUUGACUAUUGUUACAUAAAUUCUUAAAUAAAUAAAUCAAGUUUCUUUGUUUGUCCGACCAAAGUGUAACAUGUGAGCUGUUAAACCCAAACAAUGAGCUAUAGGAUGCUUUAAAGUUCAUACAGCUGAGUGGAGCUGCGUACUCAGGUGUUUAUCACCUGUAAGGCCCUAGCUUUUAUGCAUAUUUUCCAUUUGCGCAUACAGAAAACCUUGAAAAUGCAGAAAAUUUGAUACAGUAUCGAAAUGUGUCGAAAAGAUCUUGCAAACACAACAAACAAAAAAAUAACGGCAAAAAGAAACAAAUGUGUGUGUACUUCUUACUUCCUACUCGCCUACUUUCAGCACCCCACCCAACACCCA